rnacentral:lncRNA from 1 species
GAAUAUGGAACAGCAGCAGCCAGCUAAAAACUAAUUUUUCAUAUUUCAUCAAAAUUUUUCUUGGACUUCUGAAGUUUUGUUUUUACUACUGAAAGCUUCUGGUUUAUCCGAAGAAAGGGGGUUGAGGAUUGAUUGUUGAAAGUUUCUGGUUUAAUGUAGUUAAGAGUUACUAUUCCAUUAAGGUUCUGGGGUUUAUUCAUUGUCCUCAUUGUGAGUCUGAUUGUUCUUGCUGCUGACCCCUACUUUCGUGGCUGCUUAGACUUGAUUUUGUUUCUUUCCACUUCCAGGUACAUAUCCCUGAAUUAAGCAUAUAAGAACAGAUCAGGGAUGUCUUAUUGAAGGGAAAUGAAGACUAUGCUUUUCUGUUUUCAGAAUGUUCUUCCUCUUUAAUUUGAUGCUUAGCUUGUACUGUCCAUUACCUUUGAUAGCAUGUUUUAUAUGAAGAUAGUUAGAUUACAUUAGCUUUGAGUUUUCUAUAUUCUUUUAGAAUAAUUCUGGAUGUUUGGAAAGUCUGUUUACAAGUGAGUUUCCUUAUUGAAUUUGCAGAUUUUUGUGUAGC